rnacentral:tRNA from 1 species
GCCUUCGUGGUGUACUGGUCAGCACACUCGGCGCGUAAUCGAGAUGUCCGUAGUUCGAGUCCCGGCGAGGGCG